rnacentral:rRNA from 1 species
AGCAGCCGCGGUAAUUCCAGCUCCAAUAGCGUAUAUUAAAGUUGUUGCAGUUAAAAAGCUCGUAGUUGAAUUUCGGGGUCAGUAGGCUGGUCGUGCCACGGGUAUGUACUGGUCUUACUGAUUCCUCCUUCCUGAUGAACCGUAAUGCCAUUAAUUUGGUGUUGCGGGGAAUCUGGACUGUUACUUUGAAAAAAUUGAGUGUUUAAAGCAGGCUAACGCUUGAAUACAUUAGCAUGGAAUAAUGAAAUAGGACGAUCGAUCCUAUUUUGUUGGUUUCUAGGAUUGACGUAAUGAUUAAUAGGGAUAGUUGGGGGCAUUAGUAUUCAAUUGUCAGAGGUGAAAUUCUUGGAUUUAUUGAAGACUAACUACUGCGAAAGCAUUUGCCAAGGAUGUUUUCAUUAAUCAAGAACGAAAGUUAGGUGAUCGAAGACGAUCAGAUAC